rnacentral:rRNA from 1 species
UUUAAGUGAAGAGUUUGAUCCUGGCUCAGAGUGAACGCUGGCGGUAGGCCUAACACAUGCAAGUCGAACGGCAGCACAGUAAGAGCUUGCUCUUAUGG